AGGCAAACGGAUGGACAAUGAAGCCGGUUCAGAGGCCCAGCCGAGACAAUGAUGCACAGGGAAACUCCCUCGAGCCCCAGCUGUCACCUAGUACUUCGAAGACACUGAGAGAAUGCAUGUUGCCUGGUGUGCAAGGAAAAUGGUGUGGAUUGUUCAUUCAUCAGCAGGAGAAUGUAACAUGCAUACAUUGGAUGCAACAGCAAAGGCAGAAGGCAUCUUUAAAAAUUCUGAAUUUGCCCUUUCACUAAAGACAGAUUUAUUUUUUUAAAAAAGUACCUCUGGAAUAACGUUAAAUUGUAAAAUGUGGCUCAACUUUUCAAAUACUUACCUAAUUAAUACACAUAGUUAGAUCAAGCCAAAGGGUAUAUUCUAAUAAUAUGACUCAAUAAAGCAACUUGAUAUGA
rnacentral:lncRNA from 1 species